GAUCUAUGGUCAUUCCUGCCUCUGAUUUUGUCGGUCUGUGUCGCCAGGGGAUCCACAAGGUUAUAUCUAUCCAUGUAUCCCAUGGAUACAUGGGAUAUCCGUGUAUACAUGUAUCCCAUGUAUCCCGUGCAAGAGAAAAAAUGAAAGGAACAAAAUCCAGAUGCUGGAAAAGAACUUUUUUUUCACCACAUAUAUCGCUUAAACAUUAAACUUUCCCGAAUGUUCCUUUUUGUUUGUUGAUUUUGUUUGUUUUGUUUUGUGGUUUUUUUUCUACCGAAAAGAGCAAAGAAGAUGACAAGAUAUCUGACACCAACAUGAGAACACUUAAAAGAUCGUUUAGUUCACAUGGUUAACAUGCAAACUUGAUUUUGAUUGCAGUUUCAUGAUGUGCAACAGGUGAUGUACUACCAGACAGAUAUGUCCAAGUUUGGAGAGAGAUACACGGGAGAAGAACUCACCCUGGCAAGGUUUUAUUCACCUACACAAAAGCAAUGUUACAGGACGUCAAAGCGUUACAGAGGUUUCUGCAGCAGCUGAUUGAACUACCAACAUUUUGAGGCAAGACUGCAAGUUCAUAUUUGUUUGUGGUGUUUCUUUUUGUGCCUUGGGAGAAAAAAAAUGAAAAAUUUUGUAUUGUGGAUAAAGUUGACUCUCCCACAGUCCCAUGAGAACAUGUUUUAUGUGUGCUCCAAGUUUUAACAUAAUUUCAACCCUCUGUGUUCAAAUGCUUUUGCCUUCUUCCCUUUAUUGUUGAAUUACUUCCAAGUCUCCACCCUUCUUUCUAAGAUAAUAUGCCAUUUGAGCAAAGAGGUCUGUACUAUUUUCAGUCAAAGGAAUCACACUCUUCCACACAGGCCAACUUCAUUUAAGGCAAUCAAGACUCAUAAAUUAUGAAGCAUGUAAUUGACAUGUAUGCAAUUUACAUGUAUGUAAUUUACAUGUAUGACUUUUAUUUUCAUUCUAUUAAAAGCAGUAUGAAAGGCCUGUGGUCCUGAACAUCCUAUAAAUAAAGGGCUCCUACCUGUCUUCCCUGCACCCCUCAAAAGGUAAAAAUUACUAGGAAAGCAAUAGUGUUUCCCAAACAUGCUAAACUGCCUAAUGAAAGGUAAAGAUCUGUCUGCACUAUCUAUGGGUAUGGUUUUCUCUUGCCUGAGAGUAGGGGCUGAAAUCCCAAAGAAUUCUUAGGAUUGAAAGCUAUAGGAAAACUGUAUACUUUCUCCACAAUUACACUAAAAGAACAGGACGUAAGAAGGCAGAGUGUAAUACAGAUUUUGCUGUACACAACAUGUGAUCAUGUAAUUGCCUGUACCUCAUAAAAUUGGGUAUUAACAUCCUUUUACUUCAUGAUUUUCAAAGAAAGUUUUCAAAGAAAGGCACCCAAUUUAUUUCCUCAUCACUCUUCCUAGCAGCAUGUGAAGUUGAGGAAAGAAAGGUCAAAGGACAACCUUUCCCAGAGCUCCUACUUCUUUGAGAAAUUAUAUGGCUUCAGCUCAUUGUAGCACAUCCUAAAGCACUGAAAGUCAGAGGCUGCAGUCCCAGCUCAAAUUCUUCUGUGGGACAGUAAUGCACCUUACGCCAGAAGAAGAGGAUGCACAACAGACUAUAACAUGUUUUCUCCUGUCCCUAGUUCAACUGCCUGGCACUAGGAAACUGCACUGCAUCUCUAAUAUAAAAGUCAGCAUGAUGUAUAGAAAGUGAACAAGCAUUAUCGUCCAUGAAUUAGCUAACAAGUCAUAUGUUAUUUACUGAAUAGUUAUGCCUCAGCUGGUAACAGUCACCUUCAAAGAUCUAUACAAAUAAAAUGUUGCUGAGUUACAGAAACUGUAACACUGAUCCUCCUGAGUAGAAAAAAAAAAAAUGUAUAGGAUGUAGGAACCAACUCAGUCUUGUUGCAUUUCUUCACAUUAUCUAGAUACCACAUUAAGAAAUAUACCAAACAGAAUAAACCCAUGUUGAUAGAAAGAGGUCUUAUGUUGCAGCUGGAAUUUCUGCAGUCAAAUAUGUGAAGUUUCUGAGAGACAGACAACAGCAGUCUUUGAAAGACAAAGAGAUAACAUUUGUUUCUGAAAGACAAAUGGAUAGUAUUGUUAUAUAAUAUUGUCUCUUUUUCCAUUUAAUUGAGGAACUUUUUUUUUUUAAUGGAAAUGUACAAAACUUUUAAGUGUAAAAUCUUUAUUAUGUGUUAUUAGAAAUAACUCCUUUCUCCCACAGUAUUUUACUGGAUUUAAAUCAUUUUGUGCAGAAGAAAAAUAAACCUUCAGAGAACAUUUCAAUGUUAUAGCAGGAGAAAAAAAAAAAAAAAAAAGAGAGAGAGAGAGAAAAAUCCAUACCUGUUCUUCAAACAAACCUAUUACAUCUGCAUACCUGGCUUCACUAUACAAAUAAAUCAAGUCUUCGUGUUACCAACUCUCCUCUUAGCAGUUUUCAAUACUGAAUUGUUAGCACACAUACUGCACAAUAACACCAAAGCUCUAAGAACAGAAACAGAAAGACAGUCAUUUAGAAACAAAUGCUAAAUUUUAAAUAACUAAAUUUGAAAUAAAAUUGUGGCCAUAAAUCACCAUAUUAUCCUGCACCCAGAGCCAUUUCAGCUCAAGCGCACCUGAACAAACCACACAUCCUGGCUUCCUCUGAGUCUGUAUUUCAUACCACCCCACUUACAUCGUGCCAUUGAAAAUUGCAUUGUUUAAUUUAGUUAUCAAAAUCAACCCUUUUGGCUCAUUGUUAAUUUUUCAACACUUGCCAGUCCUGUUAAUGGUCUGUGGUGUGCUUAACUUACACACCACUGUUCUGUGCAUAGCAUAUAUACACACUGAAAGCAGAGUUAUUUUUGAAAGAUUAUAGUAUUACCACAAUGUUAUAGGAAAACUGAAGUAUACUAGUGUCAUUUUAGAACUGGUCUGGUCAUACAGAAAAAAUCAUCCCUUGAGAGAACACACAACAUUUGAUGGACAGAAUCUCACUGCUGAUUUAGUACAUUAUGGAUGUCUGCUCAGAAAAUAA
ensembl:lncRNA